GUUCGCGCUCCGCCGGCGACCGGCGCACGGGUGAGUAACACGUAUGGAACCUNCCCGCAGCAGGGGAUAAUCGGGGGAAACCCCGUCUAAUACCGCGUAACGACCGGAGGGGCAUCCCUUCGGGUCCAAAGGUUUACCGGCUGCGGAUGGCCAUGCGUCGCAUUAGCUUGUUGGCGGGGUAACGGCCCACCAAGGCGACGAUGCGUAGGGGUUCUGAGAGGAAGGUCCCCCACACUGGUACUGAGACACGGACCAGACUCCUACGGAAGGCAGCAG
rnacentral:rRNA from 1 species